UCCGCACUGGUGUAACGGCUAGCAUACCGAGCUUUCACCUCGGAGACCGGGGUUCGACUCCCCGGUGCGGAA